UCCAACACAAUUUAGGAGAGAUUGGUCAGUGUAUCGACUGGGAUACUUUCUAAACAAUUUUUUAAUUACUAGAAUGCUAAUUGAAUUCCGAGUAUUCCGAGGGUGUGCUUAAUUUUUCCAGGAAGAAUUUAACCCUGUUAACUAUUCCAUUCUAAUUCUAUUGUUUCUUUCUUAUCGAUUAAUCUAUACUUAUUCAAGUUUCAAGAGAAUGUACGAAGCUGUUGAUAAGUACGAAUCCUGUGUAACCGGCUUAAACGCAAUCGUAAAUCUAAGUAGCGUGCAAAAGUCUGCACGCUACAAUAACCAGUGGACAUUUUGUUUCUUAUGAAUUAACAUAAAGAUAGUUUUCACGGUAUCUUAAUUCUGUUCUUCCUCGAACCAUUCUUAACAAAUUUGUGAGCCAUGAAAAUCACAAAUGAACAUGUAUAUAAUAUAUAUAUGUAUAUAAUCAUCAUAAAGAGAAUAUCUGAACUAUAUAGGAGUAUUUCCUAAAGAUACGGUUAGUUGUUGUCAUAAAAUUCGAAUAUAGUAGAUAGCCCAAGGCUUUUGAAUUCUAUAGUAUCAUAAAUCAAAGAACUUACAUAUAAUACAUCGAUUUUUGUCAGAACUGGUUCAAUUUUGCAAAUGGAUUUUGACAUUGUACGCGAAGAAACUGACGUGGCUGAUCCAUAGAACGUCAGCCACUAAAGAGCAUUAGGUAAGAAGACUUUUGGAAGUGUUGAACGACGAUAAAAUAGAGGGCAGAUAUAACGAAUUCCGGUCUACACCGUGUUCCAUACAAUCCGUAACAGUCUGACCCAGAAAAAUCUAAUUAUUACACAAACUGUCUUACUUGUUCCAUUUUGAAAUCUGCAAGACCUACAUCUUUAUACCUGAACUCGAAGGUAUGCUUAAAGUACUCUAGUAAUCCAAAUGACACACAUUAUGUAUAAAAUUAGACGAAAAAUUAAUCGAUAAGCAUUCUCUUUCCGAAGAACGAGAGAAACAAGAACGAUUUUCAGCUUCAGCGUCGACCUUGCAACUCGAGCAAGCUAUCUCACCUUGUCCCCCUUUUUUCCAUAGAAGAAUCUACCCGGUGUUCGUGAAAAAAUAACGGAUCUUCAUUGGACGCUGGAAGCGGAAACCGCAUUGCGUUAUGUGAUUAAUCGGAUAUUGAUUAGUUCUAUCUUCGUGUGGAAUAAAUUACAAUAGGGAGAAGGAACUUUACCGUCGAUACUCCAACUGUCAAAUUCCACGAAGAAGAGCGGGAAUACAAAAUGAAGAAAUGCCAGAGGUUACUGGGUCGUGCUAAAAAAAGCAAACUAACCUUGAGCCGGCAAAAAAAGUAACUACCCGUGCACUGCUUGAUACUCAACACGCGUGUUAUUGUUUUGACCCUGCUAUACGUUGAUCAGUUUGAUUCGAUGAAAGAUCGAUGACCGAGAAAUCUAACUAGUAGCCAACAUAUAACGCAUAAAGGAUAUACAGUACCAGAUUUUGUAUCCUUUCAUUUUCGUUUGCAUAGUUUUUGGGUCACUUUACAAUGUAUUUUGACAGUAGAUUCUAGCUGUUUAAUUCUUUUCUGAAAUUAAAACUUUUUAAGACUGACGAUUGAAACGCAAAUGUUGAACAAAAGAUUCGAGUAGAAUAUGAAAACAUUUGAUAAAAUAUAAUAUUGUAAAAUAAAUAUCUAAUCAGUGAAGAUAAUCGGCAUGUAGGUAGAAAGAUACUGCUAAUUCAAAAUUUGAUUGAGAUAUCAUGACUGGUAAGUACAUACUUUUUCAAAGUCUCAAAUGGAAGAGCAAGAAAUAUUUAUUACCUAAUAGACAAGGUUCAAUUAAUUCGGUAACACCGUAACUUUUAUCUCGUCCAUAACGUAACAAUGCAAAAAAGAAUUAAAAGUAGGAAACUGCUUUACCGUCGCAAGUUAAGUAAAUUCCAUCUUCGAUCUAUUAUUAACAGUUUUUCGAAUUUUGUUUCUAGAGUGAAUGAUGGCGUAAAAGUCGCGCGUAACAUCCAAGAAGAAAAUCCACGUCUCUGCCAAAUACCUAACGUCAAGAAAGCAACCACAUUUUUCCCUUGAUUCUGGCAACCAUCCCAGUUUUCACCGGAAUACAUCAGACGCGCAAAACCAAUAUGAGAAACGUCUUGAAUUUCCUCGCAGAUCGUGUAACAUGUAAAAUUAUUUACUUUUCUUUAAAUAUUUCGAUCGAAUCGUUUGGUAAAGUAUAUCGAAUUUCAUUUUAAAGUUUUUUUCCACGCGCAAGAUGAUCGAGCUUAAUAAUUUGUCAGUAUUUUUCUUUCGACUUCCAGAAGGUCAGAUGCUGGAGGAAAGAGAAAAAAUAUAUCGCGUGCGUGAAACAGCAUCUCGCUGAAAAAUUACGGCAAAGAUAUUACGGGUCAUCUCUUAUAUUUCGCAAAGUCAAUAACGCAGUUACGUAAUCAGAUAAAGAGCACAAUUGGAAAUUAUGUAACUAAUCUUAUGAUGCGAACCUGCUAGUAAAUGCCUGAAGCGUGCGAU